GUAUUGCUGAGGAGUCCCACAAUAGGACGAAAUGGCCGUCCAGUGU
rnacentral:hammerhead_ribozyme from 1 species